AAUUUCAAGAACUCGAAUUACUUGGUCCGCGGGCAUUGGAGGAAGAGAUCCGAAGAGGAUCUCUUUCCUUAUUAUAGGCCACUGUUGUAUGGAGAUCGCAAACUAAUUUGGGUAAAAGUCAAAAAAAGGCAACUAAAAAAUAAGACAAAUUCACUUGAGUUUCUUCUGCUACUCUCUACUUGUUUGUACCUGUACUACAAAACAAUUAAAGAGACAGAGAAGGCAAAAUAUGAAAGGUUUGUAGGAGGCAAAGAUUGUAAUUUUGCAAAAUAUAUGUGGAGAUACACUUGCCAUUUGUAAAUUUCAUUAAUUGAGCACUUAUUACUAUAAAUUUGAAAAUAAAAGAACAUUUUUUAGAUCAUACUUCUUCUUUUCUAUGCUUUUCUCCGAUCAUUGACAACAGUUUUUUAAAAAAUCACUUUUUUUGUUCUAAAUUUUUUAUUAAGUUAUUGCUUUUAAAAGCAUCAGAAUUCCAAACCGACCUAAAAAUAAUUUGUUUUUAUGUUUACCUAAUUUUCUGGGUAAUUUGGAAGUAUCUUAUUGGUCAAGUUGUUAUCAUAGUUGAUGAUGAUUAGUGUAGCAUGUAAUAUCCGGCCACGUGUUCGAAGUUCAGAAAGUUAUCUUAUCCUCUCCAUCAAUCAUCACCAACCAUUGUCCCAUAUGCGUGGCCAAAUCUUCUUUUUACAAAUCCCAAGUGAAAAAAAAAAAACAAAAACAAAUGAAAAUGCAUGGAAUCGGAAAUAGAGAAUAUUUACUAUUACUAGCUAUUAUUAUAGGGAAAGAGAUCAUCUUCGAAUUUCUUCCUCCAAAGUCUGUGUAUCAAGUGAUCUGUACCCUUGAAAUUUGAUCCAACGACCCUUGAAAUCCAAGCCCCUGAAAGGUAUAAUAAUUUUUUACUGUUGGUUGGUUAAAUUUCAAGAACUUGAAUUACUUGGUCCAUGGGCUUUGGAGGAAGAGAUCCGGAGAGGAUCUCUUUCCUUAUUAUAGGCCACUAUUGUACAGAGAUCAUAAACUGAUUUGGGUAAAAGUCAAAAAAAGGCAACUAAAAAAUAAGACAAAUUCACUUGAGUUUUCUUUGCUACUCUCUACUUGUUUGUACGUGUACUACAAAACAGUUAAAGAGACAGAGAAGGCAAAAUAUGAAAGGUUUGUAGAGAGAAGUGAUCAGAGGCUUUUAAUUUAACUCAUGAUUCAUCUGUACUUUCAAAGGGAAGGAAUAUUUUUUGUUCGAGAUUUCGUAGUCCAAUGAGCAGUCUAUUCAUGUCGAUAUUGUUUCAAUUCAAUCACAUUUAUGAUUUGACAAAUGUUAGAUUUUACUGCAUAGGUAUUUAGAAGCUUAAUUGUUUAAUAUAAGUUGUUGAGGAGAACACGAUCUGAUAGGAGAAUAUUUUUGCUAACCACUCUCAAGUUGGUGAUGCUCACCACGUUCUUAUUUAUUACCGUUAUAUAAAUUUAAAUUUUGAAAUUUGUGUAGUGUAUAGUCACAAAUUUUAAAAUUUAAACUUAUCCGACGGUAAUAAGUAGGGUGUUGAAUAUUACCACCACUUGAGAGUGAUGAGCAAAAAAGCACCCAUCUGAUACCAUGUCAAGAUUUUAGAGUCUCCUUAAUUACGCUAAUAUUGUCUCCUUAAUUACGCUGAUAUUGUCUCAACCUAACUACUUAUGCAGUUUAACAUCUGAUGAAUUGUAUCAUGAAAAACCUUUGUGUAAUUAAAAGUGAACCAUUCAAUUUAUAUCUAUAAUUUAUUAUGUCAAGCUUCCAACAUGGGAUUAAAUUGUUCAACAUUUUAAUUUUUACUGCAUUUGUUUUGAUCAUUAAUUUAUGAUAUUUUGGAAAUUUGUUGCAUGGUAGUAGAGUGAACAAGAAAAUAAAAAGACAAAUAGGUGGGUGUUAAGAAGAUUCUGAUACUGUUAUAAGUUUACACGAGAAAACAAGAAUUUAUUUUCAACUGUUAAUAUUUCUUGAUAUCUCAAGCAUCUACAGCCUUUUAACUGUUAAUAAAGUUCCUAGCUACUUCAAGGAUCGAUUAGCAAUGUUGAUAUUUGUUUAGUUAUUAAAUAAAAAAGUUUGGGGGCUUAUAGAGGUAGAUUGUCAAAAGAGAGGCAUAGAGAGGAUUAAACUUUUGAAAGUUAUAGAGAUUUUACUUAAAAUUAAAAGUGUGAAACGUGCGGAUAGAAAUGUGCAGACUGAUUAUAGAUUCAAAUAUAUGAUGCAGUGUGACAAAGAGAGUGUAUCAAACGAUAACCUCAUUGCAUAAGCAACUAGCCUCUUAGCCCUUUGUUUAUGAGGGAAAAAAAGGUUGAAAAUUUUGGCAUAAAAAGACCAGGUAUCCCAACGAAAUCGUAAAAUGGUUUCGAGUCACUGUUCUCUUUGAAAUAGCGGGUCAUGGGCCUAAAUAGACACCGAAGCUCAUUUGCACAACUUAUAUUUUGCUAUCGUAUUUGCGCAUCAAUUUGAUCUUUGAUCCUUUAUUUCAUCUAAUCAACCUCAUUAUCAAUUACAAUGUUAUAAA
rnacentral:lncRNA from 1 species